UAACAAAUACCUUUGGAGGGAAGGCUGUAUCACAUCAAGGAGCAGCUUGAGUUCCUCAUAGAUUGUCAUGACCAUCAGACAAAUGGCAGAUGUUCUCAAUGUGUCGCACUCUGUGGUCAAGCGGCGCAUGAGGUUGAGGAUUGUUAUCCAUGGUGCUGUGGAUGGUUACAGCAGACGUGUUGUGUUUCUGAAGGCCUCUGACAACAACAGGAUUGCCACAGUCAUGGAGUCAUUCGAAGCAGCAAUCACCAGCUACGGAGUACCAUUCCGGAAAGGUACGAUAGACAUUUUCUACUCUAAACGGAUGGGGACCAGAGUUUAGACACAGGUGGCCUUAACAAAAGUUAAGUACCUCCCCAUUCCAGUACAAUUCUGUUUGGCCAUAUUUGGAGAGAGUCAGGUACUGUUAAGAUAUAUGGUUAUUGUAUUUUGCUCUAUGGCGCUUUAGCACAGCAUUCCAUCUGCUGACACAAUAUUUGUCUUCCACUCAGUACAACACUACCCAGGAGAGGCCUACUGCAAGCACUGGAUUGGAGCCUUCAGAGCGUGCCUGCUGUGGGAAGACAACAAAACAACCGAAUGGACAUUAAAACAACUUAACAUUUUUGUAAUGCCCAAAUGGGACUUUUAUAAAUUGUUAAAAUAAAUCAGUGUUGAGAACGCCCUUUAGUUUAAAAAAUAAACGAUGAAGAUAGUGGUUCGCCCCGUUACAUUUUAUAUAAUUGUGAUUAACAGCAACCUAUUACAGUUAGUAACAUAACAUUGUUGACACAUUGUGACAGCUCAAAUGACGUGGUUGAAGAUGGACUAGUGCAGGGCUCCUAACCUUGUUCCUGGAGAGCUACUGUCUUGUAGGUUCACUCCGACCCUAAUCUAGUGCACCUGAUUUUAAUAAUUACCUGCUUAAUAAGUUAAUGAGGGUAGCUCUCCUGGAACAGGGUUGGAUUGAAAACCUACAGGAGGGUAGCUCUCCAGGAACAGGGUUGGAGAGCCCUGAUGUAAACCUACAGUAGCUCUCCAGGAACAGGGUUGGAUUGAAAACCUACAGGAGGGUAGCUCUCCAGGUACAGGGUUGGAGAGCCUAGGACUAAUGGAUCUAGUUCUUGGAUCAAUGCAUUUGAAAUUCGAUAAGUCACUACGAAGGUGCAGUUCCCAGAAGUGGAGCUGUCACUUAAUGCAGUGGAUGGGAAGCCUUAUUUCAUGUAGUUCUAAUUAAAUGAUAAUGGCUGAAGUUAAUUUGUUCUUAAUGAAGGACAUCAAAUGAUCAGAUUUGGAUGAGUUGGCUGCAAUAUGGCAGCAGUACUUCAGUCAACAUCAGCAAAGGAUAUUGGUUAUUAGUGAAGUGUCAGUAAAGUGUUUUUUUAAAAACUAGAUCUUUUUGAA